AGCUUGACUAUCGGGAUCUGCCACAAACAAAAUUAAUAAUAAAAAAAAAAAAAAAAAUGAAUUCACAUCAUUCGAAUACGGGCUUGUCCUUUCAAUUUCGAAUUACGUCAAAUAAACUCAUCGCCAUCUACAAUUUCUUGACACGCACAUUAUUUUCGGAACAACUCUUUAGCGGUAACAAUAGGUCCUAUUUUUGUGUGUAGUACG